ACUUGGUCCAUAGCCGCUUUCCUCCCUGAGGAGCAAGCUGCACURGUCCCUCUGCCCGAGCAAGACCUGCCUAGUGCAGGCCCUGGGUCCCACGGAGGCUGCGAGCAGGCCAAGGCGGUGGCGGGGCUGAGACCAGCCCUUCCAGAAGGGAACCGGUCCUGCUCUUCAUCUCCAGGAACGGAAAGAAAGGAAUGUGCUGAACACGCUGAAAAUGCUGAUGGACGGGACAAAUGGGUGGCAACGCACGGGAUGGAAACGCAACAUAAAGACACAACAAAACCAUGCUGGGAGUGCC
rnacentral:lncRNA from 1 species